CCCAGGAAGAACUCCAAUGGCGUCUGUGUCAGCACACCCACACCAGGCCACAACAAUGGCUGCCGCCAAUGUCCCAGUCCCUGGAGAGGUCUCACCCCUCACCGAGAUGCACUCAGGGCCUAUUAGGUUUACAUUCCAUGGUGUCAAAGUGGGACCCAAAAGAGACAACGCCCAGAGGGAUGAAGAUCCUCAAUAUCGAGCAAGGUACCCACACUAACCCCCUUGCAUUCAACUCUUCCUUGAGUCACCUUAUGCUUCUGGUUUGGUGAAUCUCUUCCUGGAUUUCAAGCUCCUUCCUUUUGGUUGAGCUCUCCGACUUUAUUCAAGAUUUGGAUAAGGACAGAUUGUUCUUCUGGAAGACCAGCCCUGAGCUAACAUCCACUGCCAAUCCUCCUCUUUUUGCUGAGGAAGACUGGCCCUGGGCUAACAUCCGUGCCAAUCAUCCUCCACUUUAUAUGGGAUGCCGCCACAGCACGGCUUGACAGGCGCCUGGGAUCCAAACCUGUGAACCUCGGGUCGCCGCAGCAGAGCGCGCGCACAUAUCCACUACGCCACUGAGCUGGCCCCCCACAUCAAAUUCUAAAUGGAGUCUUUUUGACCUUAGAGUAACUUCGAGGUUUCCCAAAGGGUCCCUGGAAAGUCUCAUAGGAUUUGUCUCACUUGGUAAAAUAUUAAACUAAUUAGAUUUAUUUGAUACGUUAAAUUA